GAAAAAGAGAGGGCAGGCUACUCCCAGCAGAAGUAUCCCACUUGGGCCAGACUUCCCUGACUCGAUCCUCAUUUGACUUCACCCACAAGACUUCAGUAUGCAGGUCUCACGCUGGACCAGGUGCCCCAGGUUUAGAUGAAAACCCAAACCUGGUGGAGGACUGUAUCGACAUCAGACCCAGGUGGUGCCGACUAGACCCUGCCAAUCAAAGCACCCCAUGCAUCCGGCCACUGUGAUGGUUCAGAAUGGACAUUUGAUCCAGACCAGUCUAAUGAGACCUGAUCCUGACACUUCUGCUGGAACCACUGGUAACAAGGAGCUC
rnacentral:lncRNA from 1 species